rnacentral:rRNA from 1 species
GGCUCAGGACGAACGCUGGCGGCGUGCCUAACACAUGCAAGUCGAGCGAGGAGAUUCCUUCGGGAUGAUCCUAGCGGCGGACGGGUGAGUAACACGUGGGCAACCUGCCUCAUAGAGAGGAAUAGCCUUCCGAAAGGGAGAUUAAUACCUCAUAACAUUGCAGUUUCGCAUGGAACGGCAAUUAAAGGAGUAAUCCGCUAUGAGAUGGGCCCGCGGCGCAUUAGCUAGUUGGUGAGGUAAUGGCUCACCAAGGCGACGAUGCGUAGCCGACCUGAGAGGGUGAUCGGCCACAUUGGGACUGAGACACGGCCCAGACUCCUACGGGAGGCAGCAGUGGGGAAUAUUGCACAAUGGGGGAAACCCUGAUGCCAGCAACGCCGCGUGAGUGAUGACGGCCUUCGGGUUGUAAAGCUCUGUCUUCAGGGACGAUAAUGACGGUACCUGAGGAGGAAGCCACGGCUAACUACGUGCCAGCCGCCGC